rnacentral:lncRNA from 1 species
AGACACACAGGGUGUCGCAGGAUGAGCAAGGGGAGGCCUGGCUGGAGGGACCAAGGUGGGUCCUCCAAGGAAGUGGCAUUUCCUCUGAGCUUCCCGGGAGAGCAGAGGUUUGCCAGGUACGUGGGAGGAGCUUCCCAGAGGAAGGGCCAGCACCUGCAAAGGCCCUGGAGUGGGAGAAACCUGGAGGAAGUUGAAAGAAGCAGCUCGGCGGGGGCGGGAAGACCCCACCCACGGCCCCGGCGUCUUGCCGGGCGCUCAGCCUCCCUCUGGCCUCUGUGGAGGCCUCCCUGCAUCGCCCUCCUGGAACGUCAGCCUCUCGGGAGAGGGAACUUCCGUUCCAUCUUGUUCAAGCUGCGCCCCGGAGCCUGGAACAGCCAGCACCUGGCGCUCAGCAGGUGUUCCAUCCGUUCUGGCUGCUCCCAGCUGUCUACAUCCUCCUCCCUCCCACUCCGCCUGAGCUGCCUACUCCUCUUCGGGGGACCCCUGUGCCAAGGAACCUACCUUGAUCCAGAUGCGGUCUCCUCAAACUUCUUCCCUCACACCCGAGUCUCUUCCCCCCUAGGAGUCUCCUGUCUCUUCCCCCCCUAGGAGUCUCCUGGUGCAUGGAAUCUACCAGAAACUGGGGUUCCCCAAAGCCUCUGCCUGCCUUCUGCAGCUGAGCUGCUUCAGCCUCUGGGGGACACCCAUUUGAAGGAACCUGUCCAAAUCCAUGUAAGAGAUCUCCUAUUUUUUCCCUCCCACCUGAGGCUCUUCCUCCUCACCAGACACCUGUUCCAAGGAAGCUCCUGCAACAAGGGUGUGGGCUUGUGUCGUGAAGGUUGAGUAUCCAGGGUGACAGUGAAGAAUCCAUACUCCCACCGCAAGAGUGGAUUUCAGUGUGCCUGAGAGGAAGAGGAGUAAGACAUCCUGCUGGCAUGUGCCCCAGAGAUCUCCUCAAGCUUUUUCUUCCCUCCCACUUGAUGCUCUCCCUCCUCGGCCAGACACCUGCUGCAGGGAAGCUACCUCAAGCCAGGUCUGCCUCUGGAGAAACACGGCAAGCUGGCCCAUGGAACAUGUCACACUCUUGCACCCGGGGCACCUGAUCAGGCUGGACGUGCCCAUCAGAUGCUGAAGGCACAGCUGCGUCCCUGCCCUGAGUUUUUGCGGUUUCUGCAACAUUUUGGUGCUUUGGCCGGGAAGCCGAUAACCGAGCUGGCCUCUUGUGCUACCGUUGUCAGGGAACCGGGGAGGCCAUGGUCGCCGGCCCGGUGACAGGUGGAUAGCGCGCACUGGCCAUUUUGCCGGAUCCAGACCCUCACUUGGGCCGGGGCCUUGGGCCACACCGCUUCCCGAACAGACUCAGAAGGAGAGUGGAAACAGGUUCCUGGACAGGACGUCAGACUGGAUGGGUAGAGGCCUUCCCUACCCGAACUGAAAAGGCAAGGGAAGUAACUAAGGCACCCCUGAGAGACAUUAUUCCCGGAUAUGGAAUGCCUCUGACCAUCGGGUCGGAUAAUGGACCGACAUUUGUGGCUGAAACAGUACAGCAGUAACAGGAAUAGUGGAUCCAUCAUUCCAGAGUUCAACCGGCUGGCCCAGCUGAGGACUGUGGAGAGUGGGAGACUGCCCUCGAUCCGGAGAGACCUCUUCGCCUGACAAUACAGAGGAGGAGACGACGAUCUCAAAGCCCUGCCCUGACCACACCGGAAGCUGGUCAGUCAACGCACGGCUGAAGCUUGAGGAAUUGGCUGCCUGGUAAAAUCACAUCCUCAUGUGCCCCAUGCAUUCAAGUGACCCGAUCAGAUCAAGGGGUUACAUGGACUUUGCUUUGCUCCACUCGUUUCUCCUGUUCUGGAGAAAUUCAUGGAAGUUGUACUCACAACAGGACCACUUAUUCUAUCUGUCAACAGGGGGACCAGUACACUUGCUUUGAUCCACGAUACUCACCAACUGAGGAAUGGUUAGAAGUCCGGCGCUCUCAUAAAUCAGGGCAGCUAAUUAAUCAGACCCAAAUUAUCAACUCCAAGUUGUCAGUAUCAAUAUUUUUGAUGCCUGUGAAGCUAUAAAUGGGUCGUGGACUUCUGCUAGAUCAUGUGGAAGCCCGUCAUGGGAAAGAGAAUGUAGGCUCCAGCAUAAAUAUAUGUGCUGGGGGACCACCUGGAGCGGUUGCCAGGAAUGCACUUACUGGAGCUGCGUGGCCUGGCAACCUAAAAUAAGGGAGACAAAACAGCUGGCCUUCCAAAGGGUACAGCCCCUCCAGACUGCCAGACUAAAGCUUGUAACCCAGUUAAUUUCACUAUUUUCAAUUCCAGUGAGCCCAAAUAGAAGGAGGGUUUCAAAAUAAGCAUUCGCAUUGACAGAAGAGGCCUAGACCCUGGAGCUGUGUUACAUUUCCAGAGAAUCAUGUUUGCGCUCCAAGCUGCCUCUCACAGCGUCUUUCAUUCCCUUUAUGAAGAGGUAAGAAGCACCCCACCUCCCAUUCCGGCCACAACUAAGAACUUGUUCUUAGCCCUGGCAGAAACUAUUGCACAAACUCUCAAGGUCUCCUCUUGUUAUGUAUGCGGGGGAAUGAACACAGGAGACCACUGGCCUUGGCAAGCCAGAGAACUGGACCCAUUAGAGCCUCAUAAUGAGCCUACAUUCCCCCAACUCACCAAUGGGGUAUGGCUCCUCAGAACUGCUAUCAUAGGCAGAAACUCUCUUGCAAGGCGGGGAGGACGGUUUAAUGUUUCAGUUGGAUGCCUAACAUGUUUAGGCCUAAGGUAUUAUAAUCUGACUGCCCAAAAGCCUCAACGGUGGCCAUCCUCCAAGCUCUCAGAGCCCAAGCCUAAUCCCCUGUCCAACUUUUCCCACUUCUGACCAGCAUUGGAAGAUAUCAGUGCUAAUAUCCAAUGGCGGCUACCAAAGGGAUUAUAUUGGAUUUGUGGGAAAAUGGCCUAUUCCAUACUCCCCCCGAAUUGGGCUGGGGCCUGUGUACUGGGAACAAUGAGACCUUCCUUCUUCCUGCUCCCACCAUCACUAGGGGAACAACUGGGAGUUCCUAUAUAUAGGGCACAGGGUGCCCAGAGAGACCGGAGGGCUCUCCAAAUUGGAGACUGGAAAGAUGAUGAAUGGCCCCAGAACGGAUAAUUCAAUAUUAAGGACCUGCCACCUGGGCAGAGGAUGGCUCUUGAGGGUAUCCCACCCCUAUCUAUAUGCUGAACCACAUCAUCAGACCACAGGCGGUUUUGGAACUUAUAGCAAAUGACACUGCAAGGGCCUUGACUAUAUUGGCCCAACAACAAACUAAAAUGCACAGUGCAAUCUACCAAAAUCACUUGGCCUUGGAUUAUCUACUUGCUUCUGAAGGAGGGGUUUGUGGAAAAUUUAACUUAAGUAAUUGCUUUCUACAAAUAGAUGACACUGGAAAGGUAGUAAAAGAAAUUGCUGACCGCAUGACUAAACUUGCCCAUGUACCUGUACAAGCUUGGAAAGGAUGGGAUGCAGACAGUCUCUUUGGUAAACGGUUCUCUUGGUUGGGAGGAAGUAAGACAAUGGUCGGACUAGUCAUGGUUAUACUCGCAGGGUGCCUACUUAUUCCCUGCUUUGUACGUCUCCUGAUAAGUACUAAAAGGUUUUAUAAGAACCAUGGUUGAAAGAAAAACAGCCUCCCACCUGCUACUUAUCAGAGGCUACCAAAGGGUUAUGCCUGAUGAUGAUGUGUAAAGGGUGCAGAUGCACCCUGAACAUCAAGAGGGGGGAAUGAAAUGGACUUUUAACUAAAGAACAACCCCCCCUCGGCUAAGAAGGCAGCUGCAAGCCUUUCCAGCUGUGCUCAUCACUAUGCCGCCCUUCUUGUAAUAAUGUCACAACUGUGUGCCCUCUGUCCAAGCCAGCAGCCCUGCUAGUCAAGUACCCAGCAUUGCUCAUCAGUUCUGCUUCUGUAACCUUGCUUGCUCAGUUUCUCAGGGAGGAACACUGUCUGCUUGGGGAUGGGGGCGGUCCGGGAAGCUUAUGUGGGAAAAUCAAGACCUUGUAGUGUAUAGAAGUUACUGAGAACAAAGACCUGGUGCUCAGACUCUGGAGGUGACUCCUCUGAGCCCGCACCGGUGCUGAAAAAACCUUGCUUUUCCAUAGCUCCGAGUGCUGUUUGUCUCCUUCCAUUGCCACGGUUUUUGUGGUUUCCACAACACGACCACUGUGGAAAAUGGUAUGGAGAUUCCUCAGAAAACUAAAAACAGAUUUACCAUUUGACCCAGCAAUUCCACUUCUGGGCAUCUAUCCAGAAAAAACCAUGACUUGAAAAGAUACAUGUAUUCCAAUGUUCAUUGCAGCACUAUUUACAGUAGCCAAGACAUGGAAACAACCUAAAUGUCCCUUGAAGGGGAGUGGUUAAAGAAGACGUGGUACAUAUACACAAUAGAAUAUUACUCAGCCAUUAAAAGGAAUAAAAUAACAGCCUGGAUGGACCUAGAAACUAUCAUGCUAAGUGAAGUUUGUGAGACAGUGAGACACCAACAUCAUAUGCUAUCACUUACAUCUGGAAUCAAAAAAAAAUUAGGACACAAUGAAUUUUUUGCAGAACAGAUAUUGACUCACAGACUUUGAAAAACUUAGUUUCUAAAGGAGACAGGUUGGGGGGUUGGGGGACGGCUGGAGGUUUGGGAUGGAAAUGCUUUAAAAUUGGUUGUGAUGAUGCUUGUACAGCUAUAAAUGUAAGAAGAUUCAUUUUAAAAAAG